rnacentral:rRNA from 1 species
GUGAGGAAUAUUGGACAAUGGGCGCAAGCCUGAUCCAGCCAUGCCGCGUGCAGGAUGACGCAUCUAUGGUGUGUAAACUGCUUUUGUACGGGCAGAAACACUCCCUCGUGAGGGAGCUUGACGGUACCGUAAGAAUAAGGAUCGGCUAACUCUGUGCCAGCAGCCGCGGUAAUACGGAGGAUCCAAGCGUUAUGCGGAAUCAUUGGGUUUAAAGGGUCCGUAGGCGGUUUAAUAAGUCAGUGGUGAAAGCCCAUCGCUCAACGAUGGAACGGCCAUUGAUACUGUUAGACUUGAAUUACAAAGAAGUAACUAGAAUAUGUAGUGUAGCGGUGAAAUGCGUAGAUAUUACAUGGAAUACCAAUUGCGAAGGCAGGUAACUACUUGUGGAUUGACGCUGAUGGACGAAAGCGUGGGGAGCGAACAGGAUUAGAUACCCCGGUAGUCC